CCAGGUGAGUAGCGGGAGGGGGCGGGGCCUGAGGAGGGUGCGGAGAGCUGGGGUGGGGCCCAAGUGAGUAUCCGGGAGGGAGCCGGGCCUGAGCAAGGCGGUGAGCUGGGGCGGGACCCAAGUGAGUAAUGGAAGGGGCGGGGCCUGAGGAGGGUGGUGGCGGUGGGGCGGGGCCCAGAUGUGUAGCGGGAGGUGGUGGGGCCUGAGGAGGGUGGCGAGAGGUGGGGUGGGGCCCAGGUGAGUAGCGGGCGAAGGCGGGGCCUGAGGAGGACUGAGCUGGGGCGGGACCCAGCUGCUCCAAGCUUUUCUGCCAUUUGAAGCUUCUUCUGGGAGCCAGCUGUGACCAGAGGAAUAGCUCCAGCCAUCCGGUUAAAAGUUUAACAACCGGAACAGCUCCAGUCUGCAGCUCCCAGCGUGAUCGACGCAGAAGACAGGUGAUUUCUGCAUUUCCGACUGAGGUAACUGAUUCAUCUCACUGGGACUGGUUUGACAGUGGGUGCAGCCCACGGAUGGGGAGCUGAAGCAGGGCAGGGCGUCACCUCACCCUGGAAGUGCAAGGGGUCAGGGGAUUUCCCUUUCCUAGCCAAGGGAAGCCGUGACAGACUACCUGGAAAAAUGGGACACUCCUGCCCAAAUACUGCACUUUUCCCAAGAUCUUAGCCACCGGCAGACAAGGAGAUUCUCUCCCAUGCCUGGCUCGGCGGGUUCCACACCCACGGAGCCUUGCUCACUGCUAGUGCAGCAGUCUGAGAUCGAACUGUGAGGCGGCAGCCUGGCUGGGGGAGGGGCGUCCGCUGUUGCUGAGGCUUGAGUAGGUAAACAAAGCAGCCGGGAAGUUCGAACUGGGCAGAGCCCACUGCAGCUCAGUAAGGCCUACUGCCUCUAGACUCCAUCUCUGUGGCCAGGGCAUAGCUGAACAAAAGGCAGCAGACAACUUUUGCAGACUUAAAGGUCCCUGUCUGACAGCUCUGAAGAGAGCAUUGGUUCUCUCAGCACGGUGUUUGAGCUCUGAGAACGGACAGACUGCCUCCUUAAGUGGGUCCCUCACCCCCAUGUAGCCUAACUAGGAGAUACCUCCCAGGAGGGGCCGACAGACACCUCAUAUAGGCACCUGCCUCUCUGGGACGAAGCUUCCAGAGGAAGGAUCAGGAAGUAGUAUUUGCUGUUCUGCAAUAUUUGCUGUUCUGCAGCCUCCGCUGGUGAUACCCAGGAAAACAGGGUCUGGGGUGGACCUCCAGCAAACUCCAACCGACCUGCAGCUGAGGGACCUGACAGUUAGAAGGAAAACUGAAAAACAGAAAGGAAUAGCAUCAACAUCACCAAAAAGGUCAUCUACACCAAAACCCCAUCUGUAGGUCACCAACAUCAAAGACCAAAGGUAGAUAAAACCACAAAGAUGGGGAGAAACCAGAGCAGAAAAGCUGAAAAUUCUAAAAAUCAGAGUGCCUCUUCUCCUCCAAAGGAUCGCAACUCCUCGCCAGCAAAGAGACAAAGCUGGAUGGAGAAUGACUUUGACAAGUCGACAGAAGUAGGCUUCAGAAGGUUGGUAAAAACAAACUUCUCCGAGCUAAAGGAGGACGUUUGAACCCAUCGCAAGGAAGUAAAACCCUUGAAAAAAGAUUAGACGAAUGGCUAACUGGAAUAAACAGUGUAGAGAAUACCUUAAAUGACCUGAUGGAGCUGAAAACCACGGCACAAGAACUUCGUGACACAUGCACAACCUUCAAUAGCCGAUUCGAUCAAGUG
rnacentral:lncRNA from 10 species